AGUGAACGCUGGCGGUAGGCCUAACACAUGCAAGUCGAACGGCAGCACAGUAAGAGCUUGCUCUUACGGGUGGCGAGUGGCGGACGGGUGAGGAAUACAUCGGAAUCUACUUUUUCGUGGGGGAUAACGUAGGGAAACUUACGCUAAUACCGCAUACGACCUACGGGUGAAAGCAGGGGAUCUUCGGACCUUGCGCGAUUGAAUGAGCCGAUGUCGGAUUAGCUAGUUGGCGGGGUAAAGGCCCACCAAGGCGACGAUCCGUAGCUGGUCUGAGAGGAUGAUCAGCCACACUGGAACUGAGACACGGUCCAGACUCCUACGGGAGGCAGCAGUGGGGAAUAUUGGACAAUGGGCGCAAGCCUGAUCCAGCCAUACCGCGUGGGUGAAGAAGGCCUUCGGGUUGUAAAGCCCUUUUGUUGGGAAAGAAAAGCAGCAGGUUAAUACCCCGCUGUUCUGACGGUACCCAAAGAAUAAGGACCGGCUAACUUCGU
rnacentral:rRNA from 1 species